GAUGAACGCUGGCGGCGUGCCUAAUACAUGCAAGUCGAGCGAACGGACGAGAAGCUUGCUUUUCUGAUGUUAGCGGCGGACGGGUGAGUAACACGUGUAUAACCUACCUAUAAGACUGGGAUAACUUCGGGAAACCGGAUCUAAUACCGGAUAAUAUUUUGAACCGCAUGGUUCAAAAGUGAAAUACGGUCUUGUUGUCACUUAUAGAUGGAUCCGCGCUGCAUUAGCUAGUUGGUAAGGUAACGGCUUACCAAGGCAACGAUGCAUAGCCGACCUGAGAGGGAGGACGGCCAGACUGGAACUGAGGAACGGCCCCGAUGCCGCCGGGAGGCAGCAGUGGGGACUACUCCGGGAUGGGGGAGAGCCUAAUGGAGCAAAGGCGGGUGAAUGAUGAAGCACCUCGGAUCGUAGAACGCUGUUAUUAGGGAAGAACAUAUGUGUCAGUAACUGUGAAGAUCUUGACAGUACCUAAUCAAAAAGCCACGGCUAACUACGUG
rnacentral:rRNA from 1 species